UGGUUCUGGCAUCGAUGAAGAACGCAGCGAAAUGCGAUAAGUAAUGUGAAUUGCAGAAUUCAGUGAAUCAUCGAAUCUUUGAACGCACAUUGCGCCCGCCAGUAUUCUGGCGGGCAUGCCUGUUCGAGCGUCAUUUCAACCCUCAGGCUAUCUCUAGCCUGGCGUUGGGGCUUUUUCUCCCGCAAGGGAGGCCCCUAAAACCAUUGGCGGACCCUCCGCGGCUCCGAGCGCAGUAGCAAUAUCUCGCUUUGGACGUCUCGGGGGCAGUCUAGCCGCUAAACUCUUGCUCCGGCAAUACCAAGGUUGACCUCGGAUCAGGUAGGAAUACCCGCUGA
rnacentral:misc_RNA from 1 species